ACUUUAGCUUCCUUAAACCCUAAACCCUAAACCCUUAACCCUAAAUCCUUAACCCUAACCCUAAACCCUAAACUUUAAAAUCUAAAUCCUAAACCCUAACCUUAAACCCUAAACCUAAAAUCCUAAUUUAUAUUCCGAGAUCUAGUUGUAGUUCUAGUUCGGAUACUCAAUGAUACACAAAGAAUCUAGUU
rnacentral:sRNA from 1 species